AGAGUUUGAUCCUGGCUCAGGACGAACGCUGGCGGCACGCUUAACACAUGCAAGUCGAACGAGAGAAGAGGAGCUUGCUUUUCUGAUCUAGUGGCGGACGGGUGAGUAACACGUGAGCAAUCUGCCUUUCAGAGGGGGAUACCGAUUGGAAACGAUCGUUAAUACCGCAUAACAUAAUUGAACCGCAUGAUUUGAUUAUCAAAGAUUUAUCGCUGAAAGAUGAGCUCGCGUCUGAUUAGCUAGUUGGUAAGGUAACGGCUUACCAAGGCGACGAUCAGUAGCCGGACUGAGAGGUUGAUCGGCCACAUUGGGACUAAGACACGGCCCAGACUCCUACGGGAGGCAGCAGUGGGGAAUAUUGCACAAUGGAGGAAACUCUGAUGCAGCGAUGCCGCGUGAGGGAAGAAGGUUUUAGGAUUGUAAACCUCUGUCUUCAGGGACGAAAAAGACGGUACCUGAGGAGGAAGCUCCGGCUAACUACGUGCCAGCAGCCGCGGUAAUACGUAGGGAGCGAGCGUUGUCCGGAAUUACUGGGUGUAAAGGGAGCGUAGGCGGGAUCGCAAGUCAGAUGUGAAAACUAUGGGCUUAACCCAUAAACUGCAUUUGAAACUGUGGUUCUUGAGUGAAGUAGAGGUAAGCGGAAUUCCUAGUGUAGCGGUGAAAUGCGUAGAUAUUAGGAGGAACAUCAGUGGCGAAGGCGGCUUACUGGGCUUUAACUGACGCUGAGGCUCGAAAGCGUGGGGAGCAAACAGGAUUAGAUACCCUGGUAGUCCACGCCGUAAACGAUGAUUACUAGGUGUGGGGGGACUGACCCCUUCCGUGCCGCAGCAAACGCAAUAAGUAAUCCACCUGGGGAGUACGACCGCAAGGUUGAAACUCAAAGGAAUUGACGGGGGCCCGCACAAGCAGUGGAGUAUGUGGAUUAAUUCGAAGCAACGCGAAGAACCUUACCAGGUCUUGACAUCGUAUGCAUAGCUCAGAGAUGAGUGAAAUCUCUUCGGAGACAUAUAGACAGGUGGUGCAUGGUUGUCGUCAGCUCGUGUCGUGAGAUGUUGGGUUAAGUCCCGCAACGAGCGCAACCCUUACUGUUAGUUGCUACGCAAGAGCACUCUAGCAGGACUGCCGUUGACAAAACGGAGGAAGGUGGGGAUGACGUCAAAUCAUCAUGCCCCUUAUGACCUGGGCCUCACACGUACUACAAUGGCUGUCAACAGAGGGAAGCAAAGCCGCGAGGUGGAGCGAACCCCUAAAAGCAGUCUUAGUUCGGAUUGUAGGCUGCAACCCGCCUACAUGAAGUCGGAAUUGCUAGUAAUCGCAGAUCAGCAUGCUGCGGUGAAUACGUUCCCGGGCCUUGUACACACCGCCCGUCACGCCAUGGGAGUCGGUAACACCCGAAGCCUGUAGUCUAACCGCAAGGAGGACGCAGUCGAAGGUGGUAUUGAUGACUGGGGUGAAGUCGUAACAAGGUA
rnacentral:rRNA from 1 species